GGGAAUACUGAAACCCACUAGGUUUCUGAUGUUCAAUCUUAACUUGUUGAUACAUGGAGAACUUAUCCACAAACUCUUCAAUAUCCCUCUUCACCCCACUCCACUAAUAGAUUUCCCACAGAUCGCGGUAUAUCUUCAUGGCCCUGGGAUGAAUCGAGUAAUGCGAACCAUGAGCUUUUGCAAGAAUUCACUGUCUCAACUCAUUAAUACACGGCACACAGAGUCUACCCUGGCAAUGCAACAUA
rnacentral:lncRNA from 1 species